GACGAACGCUGGCGGCGUGCCUAAUACAUGCAAGUCGAACGCUUCUUUCCUCCCGAGUGCUUGCCCUCAAUUGGACAGAGGAGUAGCGGACGGGUGAGUAACACGUGGGUAACCUACCCAUCAGAGGGGGAUAACACUUGGAAACAGGUGCUAAUACCGCAUAACAGUUUAUGCCGCAUGGCAUAAGAGUGAAUGGCGCUUUCGGGUGCCGCUGAUGCAUGGACCCGCGGUGCAUUAGCUAGUUGGUGAGGUAACGGCUCACCAAGGCCACGAUGCAUAGCCGACCUGAGAGGGGGAUCGGCCACACGGGGACUGAGACAGGGCCCAGACUCCUACGGGAGGCAGCAGUAGGGAAUCUUCGGCAAUGGACGAAAGUCUGACCGAGCAACGCCGCGUGAGUGAAGAAGGUGUUCGGAUCGUAAAACUCUGUUGUUAGAGAAGAACAAGGACGUUAGUAACUGAACGUCCCCUGACGGUAGCUAAACAGAAAGCCACGGCUAACUACGUG
rnacentral:rRNA from 1 species